rnacentral:tRNA from 1 species
GCCUGACUAGCCCAACGGCAGAGGCCGCUUGCUCAAAACAAGCCACAGUGCAGGUUCAAAUCCCGCGUCAGGCACCA